ACAUAAUAUUCUGAUAAAUCUAAUACAUUUUUAGAUUUAAAUAUGACUUUAAUAACUGAAUAAAUACUUUUCUUCUAUAAAAAUAUAGAGAGACACUCUCGUUGAAUAUUGUUUUAGUAACGCAUGGGUAAGAUUUUCUAAACGAAGUGUGGCAACCCCAAUUACUUAAUAAAAAAUAAAAAUGUUAUAAAAUGAAAAUGGCGUCAUUUCACCAAAUAUCUUAAAACACAAAUUCACGAAUAAUAAAAUAAAUGUUUGCCACGGCCUGUUAAUAUUUAUGAAGACCUCUUCAUGGAUUGGAUUUAAGCAACCUGCUGUGUAAUACCCUCGCCAUUCUUGAUGUUGAGAAGAUCUAUAAGUCUUUUACGUUUCAUCUGAGUGUUGUGGUUUUUCAUUAUGUUAAAAAUAAGACUUUGUUAGUUCAAGUGUCUCUAUAACUAUGAAGAAGAACAAAAGAAAAUGCUUUGAGUGUGGUUCUUCGCCUGCCGAUGAUCCAGAGAAGACCCUACAGAGAUUACCGAAACUUGAUUCUACAAAUUUAGUCUCCGGUAGCUUAAUCUGGAGCAACAUAAGGUUAAUUAUGUAAAUGUAAAUGGUAAUGAAAAUAAACAUCUGAGAAAAGCAAAUUCCAUGAACUAAUUUGAAAGUAUCUGUUACCAGAAGUAAAUUUUUUACUAUACCACUGUUCAAUAUUAAACCACAGGUAUAUGUACUAAAGGCAGUAAUGUCCAGAUAAUCAAUGAUUAGACUAUUGGACUUUUAGAAUAAAUUUUACAUUGAACUAUGAAUGGUUUGUCAUCUACAUUUUUAAAAAAGAUGAGAUGUUUUGCCUGUAAGAAGAAGAGAGAGAGAGAAUAAGAAGGUGUAGCAAAAUAGAAGAUGAAGGUCUAGCUGUGCCAGUGCUGAGCCACACAGUUGCUGCUGGCAUGUUUGCAAAAUAGCACAAGGUGUAGCAAAAUAGAAGAUGAAGGUCUAGCUGUGCCAGUCAGUGCUGAGCCACACAGUUGCUGCUGGCAUGUUUGCAAAAUAGCACAAGGUGUAGCAAAAUAGAAGAUGAAGGUCUAGCUGUGCCAGUCAGUGCUGAGCCACACAGUUGCUGCUGGCAUGUUUGCAAAAUAGCACAAGUUGUAGCAAAAUAGAAGAUGAAGGUCUAGCUGUGCCAGUCAGUGCUGAGCCACACAGUUGCUGCUGGCAUGUUUGCAAAAUAGCACAAGGUGCUGUAAAAUGAAGAUAUAUUGUUAAAUAUCAUGAGAUAGAAAUAAAAGAUGAAGAUCUAACUGUACCCGUCCCGAGCCACACUACUGCAGCCACGUUGCUGCUGGCAUUUUUGCAAAAUAGCACAAGGUCACAACAAUUGAUGUAACAAAUAUAAUCAAUGGACCAGGCACCUGCACCAUGAUUCUUUGGAAUACUAAAAUUCGUCUCUUUAUGUCUGUACUUCUCAUAAUGAAAAAUGUCACGUUUUUAUGAAAGAAAUAAUGGAAUCAAAUAAUAAAUAAAACAAGCAUAUGCUGGAAGUCCUCAGAAACAGCUCCGACUUUGAUGAUUUUUUAAAGUCAUGUUUUUUUAUGUUAUUUAAAAUCAGAAAUGUUUUGGUGGUCGAAAUUAUUUAAAUUGUUAAAAAAUAUCUAUGCUAUUUAUACAUAUAUAUAUUUUUUUUAAAUACAACCGACUUCAAAAAUACAAACUUAUGCAGAAAACUAACAAACGAAAGAAAAUAUUAUAAUAUUUUCUAUCUAUUGAUCACUUUGAAGGCGGUGCCAAUGGUCCAAUUAAUGGGCCGACAAUUAGUUAUCUAUUGUUUACUAGCUAUAGGGUUCGAAUUGCUUUUUAAUAUGUUUAAAAGACUAUCUUCAGAAUGAACCCUUUAUAAUAAAAAAGUAUUAUCAAAAUCGGACCGGUCCGACCUAUUUAACCAUUUAUAUAUUCAUUA